GUUGCCCUGCACCCCGUCCUGCUGCCCAGGACCUAACGGCAGUGACUGCCAGUCCCCCCAGUGCCCUCCAAAGUGUGGGAGGAGAUGAUGGAGCAUCCAUAAUGGAACAGGAGGACCCAGGCCGCCAGCAGGGAAGACAGCCACACCCUGGCAUCUCAUCACCUUCCCUGGCUCUAUUGCUGCUGUGAGCUGCGAGUCAGGGCUGGAGGAUAGUCCUGAAGAGGUGGCACUUCACGCUGCUCCCCUGGGGGUCACUGUCACGGCUGCUACUGAAGAUGGGGUGGGAGCAGGGAGAAUGGAAAGAAGAGAAACUGAGCCCACCCCUCGAAUGGCAGACUUAAUUAGUACACGCCGGCCCCAAAGUCUUGUCCAGAUGCAUCCAACAGGCCAUCCCACCUGCCUGGGCUGUCCGGAGCAGGGAAGAUGGCUUGGCAGAGGCAUCGUGUGGGGACAGCUCUCCUGAGAGAGGAGCUCCAGCGUGUAAUGACGCCCAGCCCAGGAAGGGGCUAGGCCGGGUGCUUGGUGGGCACAGGCUCUGGCAGCUCCCAUGGUGGGAGGGCUGCAGGUGUGUGACUCGCCCGGGCGGAGGAGGCCCUGAGUCACGGCUCCCAGUGUGACAGCCCCCAGAAGGCAGGUGAAGGGUCCUGCUCACUGAGACCCUCUAGCCCUGAGGCUCCGGGCACCCCUGCCCUGGAGCUGGCUGGCUGGGGCUCAGGGGCAGUGGGCCAGGUUGCCCCUCCACCCUUCCCUUUGCCAGGCCUGUUCCGACUCCCUCAGUCUGGCACAAUCGUCCCAGGCACUUCCAGGCACGAGCUGGCAUGCGAGACUGUGACGUGCUGCUUGCAUUGCUGCUGACAGUCCCUUCCACGCAGGCAUGGCGUCUGGCUCCGGCCUUUGCCCUCACUGCUCGUGCCCGGAGUGCCGGUGCCUGCUCAUCCUUCAGUCCAGCUCCACUCGCCACGGCUCCACUCGCCACGGCUCCGGGUCGGCAGCGGUGGCCCCCUGCCGCCCCAAAUGCCCACCUGCUGGUCUCUGGACACAAGACUCUCCUCAGCCGGGCGAGCUCCACCCGCGCCCUCCCGCUGCCCCUGCUAGUCGGCACGGCCUUCCCUGGGGCCGCGGCGCCGUGCCCCUGCUCUGCAUCUGCUGCUCUGCUCCAGGUGACCACCCUGCGCCAUGUGACUGUGAGCUUCUGGGGAACAGGGACCACACCUUAGGUUUCUGGCGGCUCCUCCAGUGCCUGGCAUGGCGUAUGUGGACGUCCUGCUUAAGUCGCAGGAGUGCAUGUUCUCACCAACGCACCUGGGAGGCGGAAGGAACCGGCCGGGGCCGCCAGCCCCACGCUGGGGGCACUAGCUUAAUCCUCUUCUGACCCGAGAGUGGCACAGAACUGACCUUAGUUAAAUCAACACCAGUUCUCAACCCGGCACGGUUUUGUACCUGGGGGACAUCUGGCAAUGUCUGGAGACUUUUCUUGUCACAACUGUGGUAAGGAGAACUACUGGCACCUAAGGGUAGUGCCCAGGGGUGCUGCUGGAUGUCCCACAGUGCUCAGGACAGUCCCCACAGCAAAGAAUGACCUGGUCCACAAUGUCAACAGUGUCAAGGCUGAGAGACCCUGGGUGACAUAAACACCUCCGGGUUCUCAGGCUGUCCCUGGGACUUGAUUUGCUUAUAUGCCCCUGUGCAUUAUGGGAGCCUCAGAAAGAGGAUCCAAAAAAUGUUAUCUGCUGCCGAGAAGCCUAAACUGAACACGGAUAGAAGGAGGGCGGGGUCUACUCCAUACCUGCCUGGGAGGGCACCAGCUCACGUCUCUUCGGGAGCUAAAGGGCCAAUUCCAUCAGGCUCAGGUUCAAUCUGUUUUAGGAAGCAAGUGUAGGUUUCUCCAGGUCCCCUUAGUGGCUGGGGAGGCGGCUGCAGCCAUAGGUUUGUAUAAGAGGUUGGCUCUAGGAAACAUAAAAAAGGUUCUGGAGCCACCUUUUGCCCUCAUUAAGUCUGGGUUGGUAUUGUUCUUGAAUUAUUAAGCAAAAGUCAAUAAGAAAUUUGCAGCUAGCCUGUGAGUGAUUUGGAGUGCUAUUUCAACAUAAGUAUUUACUGGCCUGAAGUGUCUCUAUAGUGGGCUGGGCAUAGUAGAAAGGCAGCCCUUCCACAAAAACAAACAAACAAAACCAAAAACACCAAUAGAACAGUUAACCCUUUCUUGGCAGAGUCAGGGCCUUAUUCAUCUGAGGAGCCCAGGGCACCAGGGGAGCGGCAAGCACAGCCCAGCACACGGUGGGUGCUCCAUGACAGAAACGGCCACCAUUCACGAGCUCUCCCCCGGGCCAGCCCCUCUUGCAGGUGCUUUGCUUGGGAAAGGCUCAGUAGCUUGUCUGAGGCCACACAGCAGGCACACGGCUGAGCAAGGAGGGGAACCCAGGCAUUUCAGCUGCUGAACCCAUGCUCGGACACACCGCGUGGUACUGUCCCCGCUAAAUGGCAGACAGGUGGCUGAUGAGCUCGCUGGGCUCAGGGUGGAUUCAGCAUGUCAGGAGCCAUAUAGUUCAGCGGACACAGUGGCGUCAGAUGCUCCCCAAAGGACAGGGUGUCAGGAGCGAUGAAGAAUGAGGGGGUGAAGAUGGAGAGGAAAAGGGAAGCCCUCCCUGGGCACCCUGUCGCUUGCUCAGUCCCCUGCCAGCUGCCCUCGGUGCUAGCAGGGCAGGCCAGCUGUGCUCCAGGCUCCAGGUGGUCCUCCCCUGCCAGCUGCCCUCGGUGCUAGCAGUGGUACAAGAGCCUCUUCUGCCCGAUCCUCCCCACACCUUCACCCCGUGGCUCAUGCUGGGUUCAUGGCCAUGGCUCUGAUGCUCGUCUCUGCCCCUCUGCCCUUUACUCAGCCCAACACACUCUCAUCUCAGAAGGGCAAAUUUGCACCAGCCUGGAAACACCCGGUGUGCACACAGCCUGUGCACAGCGCCGCCGCCAGCCUCUGUGCUUUUGCUCACGCGGUUCCCCUGCCCAGUCCCUGCCCCAACCCCAUCUGUGUUGUUCACUGGCUAUUUGGCCACCAACACUUGGCUCAGGCACGGCCUCCACAAAGCCCUCCCUGGGCUAGAAGUUUCGGAACUAUGAGCUCAUCGCCAGCAUCCUUGUUUCCGAAAAUCUCUCUGACCCCAGGGCCUUUACUUUUCUCGCUCCUUGGGACACCUUGAUCCCCCCAACUCUGACCUGUACCUUGUUCUGUCUUCACGGUUCCUGUGCGUUGCGGUAUGAACUGAACCCGCCCUCCAGCCCCACCUCUGGCUCCACUCUGAGUUUUGUCACUAGCCUGCACCUGCAGAUGCAGGGCUGCCUGGUCCUUCCAGAAGCCACUCCUAUGGCUUGGUCCGAUAGAAAUGGAUACCAAGGCUUCCAAAGAAAGUUCUUAUAGCGUCUACCCCCAGAGCACUCCAUGAGAACUAUCCCAUUUCAAAAUAUACCGAACAAUACCCAAACUGUAGAAGGAAUCAGUGUGUUAAGCGUAGAAUGGGACUGACACAUUAAUCUUGCCCCCAUACCAAAGGGGUUUUUCUUCCUUCAUUUUUUAAUAGGAUGGAUUGAACUAGAAGCAAAGUUGGAUUACUUUCUAAAACUAUAGAUCCAAAAUGAAGCUGAACAACAUAGCACUCUCCGAACCAAACCAAUACUUCUAUGAUGGAGGCUCUGCGGGAAAUAUGCAGAAAUAUUUCUCACUGUGACAUCAAGGUGAUUAAUUAGAAUGUGAGCUGGCCUUACACUGCAUGGGGGCAAGCUGGGCCCCAGAUGGAUUUUCUGGGGCGGACUCACUGGUGCGUAAGAGACAGGGCGGCUCAGCAUCAGCUGAUACCAUCUUUGAGGUAAGAUUGAAGCACUUUAUAAAAUUGGAAUUUCAGAAUGUCCCCAUUGGACAGACCCUGCCACAGAAGGGAGGCUUGCCGAAGCAGUCCUCUUCUGCCUCCCCCACCAUCCUGCGAGAUUAGCGAUAGAAGGGGCUGGAGAAGCUUCCCGCCAAGCCCCAGUCUGCCAGUGGAGGCUGGGUGUCCAGGUGGGUUGGGGUGGGGGUGGUGGCAGCAGUAGAAGAGGAAGAUCAAGACACCACAGCCCAGGGUAGCUGCAAGGAGAGAAGCCCAGGCUCCCAGCUGGCUGUGUGUGAGAUUGUAGGGCGGGCAGAGGGAGGGCCAGGGACGGCCAAACAGGAAAAGAUGAAGCCAGCUGUUUAAGCGGCAAUGACCCCAGGGCAAAUUAUUUUCUGGCAAUUAACUAUCGACUGGAGGCAGUCGGCUCAGAGGUGCAGCUGCCCAGCAUGUUUGUGCAGAAGAGAGAGCAGAUAUGGAUUUGGGAGCCUCAAGCCAUUUGUUUAACAAGAUGUCACUGCUGGAAGGAUGAAGGUGACCUCUACCCCUCCUGGCCCCAGCCCAGGGCUCACAGGCUGGGUGGUCCAGCCACAGCCAUUGCGAAUGCUGGGAUGCAGCCAGUCCACCUGGACACAGUGAGGACGUGAGGAUGUGCCAGGCCAGGCCAGUGUCUGAUACUAACAUUCGGUUCUGGCCCCAGGGGCUGGAAGCAGAGAAGGGCACCAGGGCUGAGGCAAGAAGAGCUGGUGGACCAAGUGACGGCAAGGAGGAAGAGGCAAGGAGGAAGCAAACUGGGUCACAGGGGUGCAGGAUGUAUGCGAAGGCACAUCAAGAAAAUGCAGCUGAGCCAUCCAAAGUCUCAGCCAAAAUGUUUUGUUGCAAGAGGAACUCACUGUGUGUGCGCGCAUGCGUGUAUGUGUGCUGUGGGUGGGGGCAGGGUGUGGAGAUCAUGGAAGGAGAACACAGUUCCAGAACCAUAAGCCCAAGACAGUGCCCACUAGGUUGGAAGCUGGGACCACUGAGAGCUCAGUCUGAAUGGACCGGGCAAGCGCAGGACCCAGAGUGGGCAUGGAGGCCUGGCUAGCGGGCUGGGGGGUGAGGGCCAGACCACACCCCGUGAGACACAGCCUAGGGAACUCAGAGGAUGCUGCUGCCGGUGGAUCCGGGCAUGGGGAGGUAACCAGUGGCUGCUCCUGAAAGGGCCUAGACUUUCCCACUGGCUGCCCCCUCACAGGCUGUGGGAAGGCUAUGUCGUGGCCUGUGCACACAGGUGGAAGAGAGUGGCCGUGCAGGGGGCAAGAUCAGGACAAAGGACGGUCACAAGGACCCAGGGUGGGACUGCUGAUGGGGUCCCUAGCAGUGGUCAUUAAUUCUUGGACAAGAUUGGCUCUAGGGGGAAAGGGAAGGCCAGCAAGAACAAGAGUGGGGAGACACCAGGCUCCAGGAAACACAGGGCAGGCUAGCGGGGAGGACAAGCCCUGGGGCUCAGAGAGGUCAGAGCCCCUGACCAAAUCCAACACAAAUUCAAACCACCUGCACAGUCCUUUACCAUGUGACAUAGGUGUCUUGCACUCCUCACUGGACUCCGAGCCAAGAACUGGGUCACAGUCCUUUUCUUCCCCCUUCCCUUCUCACCCUGCCUUGUGCCCAGCAGAGCAGGAAAUGCUGAGAACAUGCUGGAAAUGCUUGUUGAGGUUGAUGAGUUAGGGAGUCCCGUCAACGCAAUAUGGAGCAUCGGUUGCAGAAAACUGGAAGGAAGGUGGUGAUGGAAGCUAACUGGCUGUGAAAGCGCCCCGUGUAGAAGAUGCUGCUGGAGCUGGCGGUGACCAGGUGUAUCCGCUGCAGCCUGAGGAAGGCUGGGAAAGAGGUGUGAACGCGCUGGUGUUUUGGUUCCUGACCCAUGGCUAUAUCCAAGGAAGCCUUCCUUGCCCAGUAGGGUCCUGCGAUCAACACUGGGUUAACUGAAUGCAAGCACAAUGAGCUCCGCCAUCCACCCAGGAGCUGCAAAUCCCAGAUACCUCAUCCUUCUCAGCCAUCUAGUUAAUGACCUGAUCUCAUCAACUGCACCUCCGAAAUCCUUCCAGUCUCUCCAAAUACUCUGCUCUCCACUGUCACUCCUGCAUGCAGGUCACCACCAUCUCUUGCCCUGGUCAGUGCAGAGGCAGAGGAAUGCUGACAGUGGCUGUUCCUGGGGUGGCCACUGGUACAGGUUGAACUGUCUUCCCCAAAAGGUAUGUUGGAAUCCUCAGCCCCAGUGUUCAUGAAUGUGACCUGAUUCAGAAAUAGGAUCUUGGCAGGUGUAACCAAGCUAAGAUGAGGCCAUUAGGGUGGGCCCUAAUCCAGUAUGACUGGUGUCCUUACGAGAAGAGGAAAAUGCCAUGUGAAGACAGGAACUGCCAGGAAGGACACCAUGUGACAACAGAGGAAGAGACUAGUGUGACGCAGCUGCAAGCCAAGGAAUGCUGGGGUUUACCAGUUGCUGCCAGGAGCUGAGAAGAGGCAAGGAAAGAGUCCACCAAGAGUAGAGCUGGGCCCUGCUGACGCCUUGAUUGUAGACUUUGAGCCCCGGAACUGGGAGAGAAUACAUUUCUGUUGCUUAAGCCACCCAGUUUAUGGUACUCUGUUAUGGUUGCCCUGGGAAACAAGCGUGGUGAGAUACGGGCAAUUUUCAUUUUCUUAUACUAAUAUUUUAGAGAGCAUUUGUAGUGCAUACUCAAGACUUUUAUGAUCAAGAAAAACACAGUUAUUCUUAAAAAGAAAUGCUCAAUAAGAAUCCUAAAUACCUGAGUGGAUUUGCUUUGAGAAUUGAAACUAUCCACAGCACACAGGUGACUGGCUACAUCAACACACCUUUAUCUGUAUCACCAGGACUUCGCUGUUUCAGAAACCCUCACCCAGGCAGAUGAAGUUGCAAAUAAUUUUAUCAUUCAUUUCAGGAACUUUGCAAACAACAUUUAAACAAACAUCAGAUUGUUUGACUUUUUAAUAGGUAGCAUCUAAUGACGGUCUAUUCUCCAAGACUCUUCGAAAGGCUUGCCUUGCUGUGUCUGCCCAUCCUGCACUCCUGUCAUGGUCCUUGUCAGUCUUCACCCAGGCCCUGCAGGAGAGACCCUGAAAACUCAGACAUAUCCCACCUUUGCUCUUGCCUUUCUGAGAUGCUCCUAAGACUCUGUCAAGGGAGGGUAAGCAGGAAGCCCAGCUCUGCCCCAUCUGUGGGUUGACGUGGUGUUAUCUUCAGGCAUUUGACAUCUAACAUAUUCAAAAUACUGCAUUUACUGACUGCAAACCCAAGAGGGUAGGAAGUAUCCCUGUAUCGUGGCUGGGGAAAGACGCCUCGAUCCUGAGAAAGCUGCCCAAGGCCGCACCAUUAGCGACCACAGCGCCCAGGCCCCGCUGACCGCAAGGCCUGCUCCGAGUACUUUGCCACCUUCCCCAACUUGCUGGGACUGUGAUACGCAUCGCACACACUCCAGCGUCGGGCUGUUUCUGGGAGCUCAUGGUGUUCUGCUCCCAAUUACCCAGAAAGCUGCCUCAGGUGGACAGGCCCCACACUCCUCUGGCAGACGUCAGCGGGCAGGUUUCCCGGGGAGCCGCCACAGGGGCCUUUCCACGGUAGGCAGCUCGGCGGAGCCCCAGGGCUUCUGUUGGUCCGCCCUGGGCCCGGGCAACGGCGGCCACGGAAGCAAAUGGGCUGUGGUGGGAAAUCAUUUCCACGGGCUACUUCCCACCAGGCGCUGGCGCAACCGGUUAGCAGGGAAGGAAGAAGCGGCCCCUGCAUACGCAGGGCUGGACGCAGCGCUCACUGUCGUUUGUGCCUCUAUUCAGAGCCGCGUGGUACGGGCUCCGUGCCAGCCUGCAGACCGGGUUCUUUUCUUCCCCCAGUAGCACAUGUGCAUAUUUGCUUUAAAGUGGGCAGAAUUUGCCCACGGGUGGUCUUUGAUUUGGAAGAAAUCAACCUCAAAGCGGUGACUCACAAGAAACAAAGGUGGCUUGACUCACUCAGCGCUCGGGAAGGGGAUGUGCGUGUGGAAUCCACUUACCCAGAAGAAGAAGUUAAAGACGAAGAGUAAAUACUUCAGGCAGACAAUCAGCCAGUCAUCCUGCUCCGUCUUGUAGUGGGCCAUGCCUGCCGUGCCUGCAGAGAAGACACCUGUGUUGGGCCAGGGGGCCAUGGAGAGCAACCUGCCCUUCCUGGAGCCCGGCACCUUGGCAAGUUCCCUUCAAAGGGCUUAUGGAGGCUGUGGGUGUGCAACACGGAGUGAGGACCGGAGAGCAGCAAAGGCUGGGGACACCCUGUGGAGAUGAACUUGGGCAGAAUGCACUGGACCUUUGGAUCCCAGUUUUGUCCUCUCGACAAAGGUCUAACCUACAAGUCGGCCACAGAGUUCGCACUGGCCUUACUGUGCUCUUAUUCUCUUUCUGUCUCAUCAGGACUGCAGGACACAAGUUUGCCUUUCCUGUACACACACACACACACACACACACACACACACACACACGCACGCACACACAUGCGCGUGCACACGCUCAGCAGGGCUGCUCCGCAUUGGAAACUUGUACUCUGCGUCCUGUGAACAGAACUCUGUAUCCGCAGGCGUGGCACGACCCCACACAGAGCAUCUGUUCGGGAAAGGACCUCAACCGCCGCCCAGCCCACCCCACCUGGGCCUGCACCUUGACUCUCCAGGCGAGGAAGCAGGUCCAGACAGGCCUGGUGGUUUGGCAGGGAAGUGCAAGAGCCUCUGGAGUCUGACUCCCUGUGUUCAAAUCCUGCUCUGUCACCAGUAAGUUCCCUGUCGCGGCUACUGGGAGCAGUGCUGCCGAGAGCACGGGCAGCAGGUCCUCUUCCACACGCUGACUUCGUUUCCUUUGGAUAAACACCCAGCACUGGCUUCUGUUCGGUGAAAUCAACCAGGCACGGAAAGACAAACAUCUCACGACCUAACUCACAGGCGGACUCUCAGAAGCGGGUCUCACAGCGACGGAGAGUAGAAUGGAGGCUGACCUAUGAAAUGAGGACUUCUCCAGUACUUGUGACGAGCAUCAGUAGUCUGCAGGCCAAGAAGAUCUGGGUGUGAACACAGCUGCCACCUGCAGCAGCGUGGCCUUGGAGCCUCGGCUUCCUCCUGUGUGGAGUGGAGACGCGGCCGGGCUGCCUCGUCCCCCGCGUGGUGGCUGUGAGGCUGCAAUGGCAUGAGGACUGGCAGGAACUGUGUGCCCUGCAAUCGUACGGCUUCCGUGCCAGACGACGGCAAAGGAACACUUAAACCCAACUUGCUGAGAGCUUCCCGAAUGAAGGGCGAUGGGAAAAGGGCAGGUAACCCUAAAUAAUGCACCAGCCAGAGCCUGUCUGUGAGGGCCAAGAAUGCAGUCUCAGGGUCUCUGCCCCUCGGCCCACCCUGCCUGCUGGUGGACUCCACCCAGAUGGUCAUGAGAGGAGACCCUGUUUUCAGGUGACCACGAAGAAUCCACUUGCAGAAAAUAAAGACAUUAAUUUAACAAAAUAGAUUGGUUCAGACAGGAAAGUGGUGGGGAAAAAAGGCAAGAGCUGUAGUGAACAUUAAGCACCUAAUCUCAACACGUCAUCCAGGCACUGCAAAGGAGCAUGCUUGGUGGGGUGGGAAGAGGCACCCCAAGGCAAGGCUGCAGCCUGGGUGCCCACAGGGUGGGGCUCCACCAGGCAGCACCAGAGGGCCUCUGUCAUCCCACGGGGCUAAUGAGGUCACUGAAUCCAGAACGUGAUGGCUGUCUUGGUGCUCGGGUCACCCCUAGACACUCCUUCCCUUCUCACCAGCACCUCCCCCCCCCAACCUCCUGCAAAUUAAGGAGGGCCAGGCUUGAACCCAGGGACCUGGGUUCUUGUCUGUUUCUAACUUGCUCUGUGCUUUGGGCUUCAGUUCUUGUCUACAAAGCUGGAAUGAGUAACUUCCUUACUAGAGUGGGUGAAGAUGCUGCCUCAUUCCAAGACAUACUCCCUGCACAGUGGUUUCUGACCAUUUCUGCAUCACAUAAAGCUCUGUGUAUUUCACUGCGUGCCUAGUAGUAACAGUGGCUAAUGUGUGUCGAUCAAGUGCCGUGUGCCAGCGAUGGUUCUAAGUACAGCUGUCCCUCGGUACACUCGGGGCAUUGGUUCCAGGAUGCCCAGCAUAUACCAAAAUCCGAGCACACUCAAGGGCCACGCAUGGCCCUCCAUAUAUGCAGGGUGCAGCCGUCGAAUACUUUAUUUUCAAUCCAUGUUUGGUUGAAAAACAUCUGUAUAUAAGUGGAUGCAUGCACUUCAAACCCCUGUUGUUCAGCGGUCAACUGUACUUUCUAAGCAUUAUCUCUUUUAAGCCUCACUACAACCCUGUGAGGCAGGCAGCUCACCAUCCCCACAUCACAGAAGAGGACAGGGAGACAGAGGUUAAUUCUGGUGUACACCUGCUGUCUAGACAUAAUUAUGUCCCAGGUUAGAUGUUAAAUCGUGGCUCUUCAUUAUGUUACACUGCUCAUCAACAAUAGCCAAUAACACUCCUGAAGCUCUGAAUCUUUCUGCCCCAUCCCCUCCACACUACAGGUUUCUCCGACUCACUUCCUGCUCUGACAGCCCACAGCCAUCAAACCCUAUAUGAAGCCCCCUAUUAUCUGAUAAAAUCUGUGCUGAGUUCUGGGUCCUAAACACCUGGCACAGCACCUGAUGCAUGGUGUCAAAUGUGAAAUGAAUGAGUGAGUGACUGAGCAAAUGAACAGGUGCACUAAGGAGCCAUGAACGCUCAGGAACUCUGAGAGUACACAAAUGCUUCUCCCCCACUCAUGCUCUCACCAAGUUCUCCAAGAAACCUAAGUCAGAGAUAACAGAAAGGAGAGAAGCAAAACUGACACCAUCACUUCUGCAGCCUCUGCCUAUGUGGACGUGCGGGGUGCGUUUCUGCAGCGAUGGGUUCAAUGCGGGCAUCAGCCAGCGCUCCCAACAGGGCCUCGUGGGAAGGCCUCGCACCAGCCAGCCCGGGGAGCUUCCGUGGUCUUUUCUCCCCAAGCUUUCUCUGCCUUCUCCACAUCCUCCUCUCUUUCCCCUAGUCUUUUAAUUUCAGCCUCAGAAGAGAAACACAGACCUAUGUCCAUCAUACAUCAAAGCAGAAAAUCCUUUUGAAAUUAAUUCAAACAAGGCACAAAUGGGAAGAGGACAGUUCCCUUGAUGGGAAACACCAGGGCAUAAUCAGGCACUUCCUAGAGGAGUCAGACCUCAGCAGAAACCCACAAGAGGGGCAGCUUUGACAGAUGUAGAAAUGAAUACGCAUUCUGCCCCCACUCCAGCCCCACGGCCUCUUUUUCUUCCCUUUGCUAUGGCCCUUAAAAUGGAUCCACAGCAGAAGCUGGGAAAGCCCAGAGCCCCGAAGGCCACCACCAGUGGGAUCUCAGUGUGGACAAGCACCAGUGGCUCCCUUCUCCUGCUGCAGAACUCGGCACCACAGCAGAGCUGUUCCAGCCCGAGCACCUCGUGUGUUGGCUCUGAAAGUAGCUCAUUAAAGAAACAAUGCCAGAUCCAAGGAAGGCAGGUCGUCCUGCCUCUGCUUCAAAAACGUAUGACUUCUUAGCCAUGGAGACAGGUGUUUUAGGGCCCCGAGAAGCCAUCUCUGGUUCCCCACACCUCCCCCAGACGCUGCCCAGUAGUUUGAAACCCCAGCUCCCUGCAGCCUCGGCCAUAAAUAGUGGUAGGGGCCUGCAUCUGGGCCAGAUUUCUCAUUUAAUUGUCUCAUAACUCAGUGAGGCAGGUGCCUUCACCUCUAUUUUAUAGACGAGGAGGCUAAGGCUCCUCCGACAGACUCAGGAAUAAGCCCAGCUGUUACUGAUGUCAAAGUUGAGGACACUCAGGUUUGGGCUUUCAGAUGGAAAGGCUUUGAGGUGGAAAGAAAAGCCACCCGCAUCCAGAAUCGAUUUCUCUGUCCAGACUGUCCUUGGAGCACUGAGCUACCACUUGAGAAGCCGCUCAGAGCAAGGAUGGAGGUUUCCGGGGUGACCCAUUCAGGGUGAGCUCAGGAUCUGUAAGGCAAAGAGCAGUGGCAGCAGGAAAGCCCAAGAGCCCAGGAUGUUGGGGUUCAGCAGAGGGUGAGAUGUGGCUGAGACACAGACAGGCAGCCGCAUCACCCAGCUCCAGGGGGAGCUAUACACAUCACGGUGCAUGUGAAUGCCUGCCCUGGAAUUGUGCAGUGCACAGUCUGUGCAGGUGUACACAACUGCCUUGCAAGUGCCCAGCUGCUCAUUUGACAAGCUGUGCAUCUUCCUUCUAGCUCUCAUUUUCAGUAGACCAGCACUCUUCCUUACUACCCAUCUUUCCCUGCCAAGCCUGGGUGUCUUCCUUUUGAUGGGGCCAGCUGGGUGAAAUCCUGACUUUUAUUGGAAGUUGCCAACCAGGGACAGGGCAGUGCAGUAUAUAGUGGAUGAGCAGGUAAGGCAGGUGUCUAAGGGUUGGGCUGCUCAAGUCCAGUGAGGGUGGACAUUUGGGAGCUGGUACACCUGGCCCAAAAAACACAUGGGUCCCUUUAAACAUGUAAGUCUUUUUUUUAAUUUCAGCAUAUUAUGGGGGUACAAACGUUAAGGUUAUGUACAUUGCCCUUGCCUCCCCUCCCCCCUCAAGUCAGAGCUUCAAGCAUGUCCAUCCCCCAGACGGUGUGCAUUGCACUAACACGUAAGUCUUAACUGCAAUCAGUAGGUAGAUAUCCUCCCCUUUCUUCCAGAGGAUGGGAGAUGACAUUAAACUUAAGUUUGAUUCAUAAGGUAAUCAAGACUGCCAGUGGUCUCCCCAAAGUUGCUCUCCUCUUAUUUCAUUAUAAUGGAGCUGCAGCUGGGUGUGUGGCCACCUACCCAGUGACUAUAUUUCCCAGCCCUCCAAGCAGCUAGGUCAGCCACAUAGUAGUUCUUGACAAGGUGACAUGCGUGGAAGCACCACUCUAGGCCUGGAUCUUAAAACACUGCCCUUGCACAUUGACAUACUCUUCCCCUUCCUGAGAGCUGGGACGCAGAUGUGUCUGGAAGCCAGCUUCAACCACGCAGGAAGGACACCACCUCACAGCAAUAGUCCUUAAACUUAAGGGCACGUUAGAAUCAGCUGGAGAGCUUUCAAAAACAGAGUGCUUGCCCCACCCCUGGAGACUGUGAUUGAGUAAUUCUGGGUCAGUGCCUGAGAAUUUAUAUUUCUCACAAGUUUCCAAGUGAUGUUGAUGUUGCUGGUCUGGGGAAUAACACACUUUGAGACCACACACUUGGUCCUACAGUGUUGUCCCAGACCCUUGCGGAUGGAAGAGAAACAAGAUGGCAUGAGCCUGGAUCCCUGUAUGACUCUGUGGAGCAGAACAGCUUGCCUCCCUGGACUGGUACAUGAGAGAAAAUGAAAAAACUGCUUUGUUCUUUAAGCCACUGUGCUUGGGUGUCUGACACAGCAGCUCAGUCUUUGCUCUAACAGAAUCAUAUUCCUGGAAGUCAGAGUCUCCUCCAACUCUAUGAAUGCCCCUCUCAAAAAAGAAGAAAAAAACAAGCCUAUUCUAGCUCCACCUCUAGGAGCAACAAAUUAGCCCUUAAUCAGACUAGUGUACAGAGCCAGGAUGCCAUCUCAGCUGUAAGAUUCCAAAGCUCAACCUAAUCACGAUGCAUACUGUUUCUCAAGUCACCCACAUUUUCCUGGAUCCUGUCUCCCUCUGAAGUUACUGCCAGAUCUUUCUUCCUCUGCAGCUUCACUUCCUCAUCCAGUCAUCCUGUGCCCCACGACUGUCUGACCUCCUCCACCACUCUCCUCAUCCGAAGUCACUUCUAACUGCCAAAGCCAAAGCUGGCUUUUCAAACCUCCUCCUGCUUCACUUCUGCUGAAUCUGAAACCCUGAUCACACCUUCCU